rfam:Clostridiales bacterium CHKCI006 isolate CHKC6 genome assembly, contig: {contig56}
CAGAGCCGUAUACUCCGAGAGGGGUACGUACGGUUCCCGGAGAGGGUGGCGCAGACCUACCACAGCAAUGUGGCAAGGCGGUGCUUCCCUACUCCAC